rnacentral:misc_RNA from 1 species
ACAGUUGCCAAUCUCUUCCUUUUUUCCUUUUUUUUCGAAAAAGAACAGAUAUUCGUAGCUCGGUAUUCCUGAAUUAAAACAAAAAUAAACAGCCUGGUUUCUUAAUUUGAAUAAGUUUAUUUUGAUCAAGAGUAUUGUCUAAACAAAGAAAAAAAAAUGCUGGCUAUUUGAUCAGCAGGAGGAAUAUCCAACCACUCCAUUAUUCUACAGCAUCUUGUUGCUAUGACAACUAAGCUGCUUUCACACUCCUUCUAUGAGUUCCAUGUUGAAGAUAGUAUGGUAUAAACAUGGAAUUAUUCUUCUGUUUCCAGGCAGAAGAUCUGAAUCUUUUUUGUUCCUUUUAAAAACAGCAGAAUUAAAUUAAAAAGAAAAAUGUGUUUUUGUGCUCUAGUACGGUAUAAAAGAAUGUCUGCUAUCCCCUGUUAGAGCCUAAGAGAGAAGCACAUCUUUUAAUCUUUUGUUGCAAAUAAUACCCUUGGGGGUAUUAAAGCAGGUAUCCAUGCAUGUGUUACUAAUCAACCCAUGGAACUCUACCCUAGUAAUUAUUUUACUACUGUAGCCAUAUAGGAUUAAAAACUAAUUAAUGUUGUAACACAAGUGAGAGUAGGUUGUACAAAGUUUUAUGAGCCUCAGUUCACAUUUUAGCAGUUAAAGCACAAGAAAUAAAAUUAUAAUAUCAUAUUAAUAUUUUUUAUUAGUUGACAACAAGUUUUUUUUAUAUGUGAGUAGGAGCCAAAUUGUCAUUUGUUUAUAUAUGUUGAUGUGAUUUUGCAAAUACUAUUGCAUUGUUAAUCUAACAUCGAGGUGUUUGCCUCCAAUACUGUGUUCAUGUUCCUAGCCCCAGACUGUUUUAUUUGUGUGGUUUAUGUAUUGUCAUAGACUCUCUGUCUAUAAAAGACUUCCACAUUUCCCACUACUGUGGCUGUAUCUUGUUUAUUGCCUCAGAUGUUUUCACAAUGCCAUAUGUAUUUUGUGUUUAAUUUAUUUACCUAUAUAUGAGCAUGCGUUUUUCAGAAAGUGACCAAAAAUUAUCUUGUCACAAGUCCACCAAAAAUUUCCUGUUUGUUUUUGGGACUUUGUUACUUAACAAAUCUGGAAAAUAAAGGAGGAAAAAAAGGCAAUUGUAUUAGUUACGAUAAGGUACCAAUUUUUACCAUUCUUUCCAUAG